rnacentral:rRNA from 1 species
GGUGGCUGCGACUGUUUAUUAAAAACACAGCACUCUGCUAACACGAAAGUGGACGUAUAGGGUGUGACGCCUGCCCGGUGCUGGAAGGUUAAUUGAAGAUGUGCAAGCAUCGGAUCGAAGCCCCAGUAAACGGCGGCCGUAACUAUAACGGUCCUAAGGUAGCGAAAUUCCUUGUCGGGUAAGUUCCGACCCGCACGAAUGGCGUAACGAUGGCCACACUGUCUCCUCCUGAGACUCAGCGAAGUUGAAGUGGUUGUGAAGAUGCAAUCUACCCGCUGCUAGACGGAAAGACCCCGUGAACCUUUACUGUAGCUUUGCAUUGGACUUUGAAGUCACUUGUGUAGGAUAGGUGGGAGGCUUUGAAGCAGAGACGCCAGUCUCUGUGGAGCCGUCCUUGAAAUACCACCCUGGUGUCUUUGAGGUUCUAACCCAGACCCGUAAUCCGGGUCGGGGACCGUGCAUGGUAGGCAGUUUGACUGGGGCGGUCUCC